CUUUGUUAAAACCUUGUCGUUGCUGGGGAAUAGAAGCAUUGCAAAUUAUUGCUUCUUUCAAACGAAGGAUAGCCUAUGUAGGCACAAGUCCAUCAGCUUGUUGCCCGAUUACGUCCCCUGCCCUUUUGUACACAACCGCCCGUCGCUUACUACCGAUUGAAUGGCUCAGUGAGGCCUUCGGACUGGCUCAGGGAGGUUGGCAACGACCACCCAGAGCCGGAAAGUUGGUCAAACUUGGUCAUUUAGAGGAAGUAAAAGUCGUAACAAGGUUUCCGUAGGUGAACCUGCGGAAGGAUCAUUA
rnacentral:ncRNA from 1 species